AAGGGAAGGAGGAGGGACCUGACGAAAGCCUCCUCCAAAAUGCCCAGAGCAAAGCAGAUGGUCUCAUGCUGGUGACGUGGCUGCCUCAGUGUGGGCAAGCAUGCCCUGGAAAUGCCCAUGCAUCGAUGCAACCGGCUAUUGAUGCAUUUCCCUGGAUGCCAUCCUGCCGCUAGACGAUGGAGCUACACACAGAGCAAGCUCAGCGGUGGCCUCAUGCCUUCAGUGCCACCAGCCUGGAACCUCCUGUCCCCAGCUACCAGGAAGUGUGGAAACAUGGACAGGACAGUAGUCGAUAGAGACCGGUCUGCUAGGAUUCCUCAACCUUUGCUCCCUGAGGCCGAGGGCGGAGUCCCUCAUGAAGGAGGGUAUCCCUUCUUCUGUGCACCAGGUAUGGGAUGGAGAGGCUCUGGUCACGGGCCAGGUGAGGAAUGAAGCCGGAGUGCCCGGAGAAGGGAUAAGAGUGGCCCUGGGAAUCACUAUAAGAAUUUUGAAUGCAUUGCUGGCUGGGUGUAGGGUGUAUAUCUAGAGUUCCAGCACUUGGGAAACUGAGGCAGAAGGCUGCUAAGUCUACACCAGCUGGGCUACACCUGUGCACCACCCGUGUACCACCUGUGUACCACCCUGUCUCCCUGGGAAGGAUGCUCACUGAUGACUCCCGAGACAUUUAAAGAAAGUCCUGUCCCUUGGGGCUCUACUUGAAGAGAGGUGCCUGGUGUGGACCGCCCACCGACUUCUGGAAGACAGCCUUCCUGUGGCCCUGCUCUCUGCGUGUGUCCGGAACUGCUGCAGCUUCAACAGGAAGGUUGCCCGCCCUAUCUGUGCGCAUUCUGGCUACCAUGUCGUAUGACUCUGUAAAUCCGAGUGUCCAAUCUGUAGACUGCACACAUUCUUCAGGAACAAUAAACACCAUUGUGGUGAAGCUUA